GGACCGCCACGGCGAGCAGGGGGCGCCCUGCGCUAUCCCGGAGCCGCAGCCCCCACCCCACCCCCUUCCCCGGCCGGGAGCGCAGUCCCCACGGGCGCCGGGAGAGAGUGGCCCCUGCCCCGCGACGCCCUGCGCCUACCUCUCGGAUUUGGUGAACUUCCGGAACGCCUGGCGCAGGUCGUGGAAGGACCUGUAAGUCUGCGGCUCCGCGGAGAUGCCCUGUGCCCGGGUGGUCCGCGGGCCGAUGUGGGUGGAGGGCACCGGCAGCACCGACUGGCAUUUGUGGAGCUUCCUCUUCAGCUCCUGGAUUUCUUCCUCCUUCUCUGACAGCCGCUUCUCCAGCUCUUUGAUCCUCUCCUCCUUGAGCAUGAGAAUCUUCGCAAAGUCUUCCUCCAGUUCGCUCAUUUUUUUUUUAUGGUUAAGCCAGGUCCCCCCUCUCGAAACUUUUCCUCCCGCGGCGCGCGGGCGACGGGGACAACAGAGGAGCGCAGCGACCAGGGUCUGGGGCGCUCAGCCCGGAGCACAGCGUGCGUCCCCGCUCCUGCGAUCGCUUCUGCUGAAUGGACUAGAAGCUCCGGGGAGGACGAGGCGUCUAAAAGGAAGGAGAGGAGAGGCAGAGUGCUAAUCCCUAGCGUCUCUAGGGAAUAGGCGCACGUGUGUGCAUCACUCCUCACUGUCAAGUUCUGAGGCGGAGACCUUCACUAAUAAGAAUAACCAACCGGCAACAGCAAUGACACCAAUUCCGGGUUUUGGUAGCACAUAACUUUACUGGAAAUUGUGGACUCAAACAAUUUGGAGGGGAAGCUGGAUGAGCACAUCAUGAUAAGCCAAGUGUUUAUGGAAAAUUGAAAGGCCGCGCAUUGAUUGUGAACAGUUUAAAGUCUGGGUUUUAUUUCAUCUACUCCAGUUAAAUAUUGUAUGUUGAGCACCCAAAUAUCAUCUUCCAGGGCUCUGGAGUGGCUUCUGCAGCUGCUAAACCACUGGCUCACGCUCCCAGUUGAGUCUGGAAACUGCAACUGCAUUCAUCUUUGUUUCUCCCUUAUCUGUGCCUCCAUCAUCCGGCCAAUGCUGACGAAAUUAUUAGAGCACCUUGAUCCUGCGUGUUUAGGAGUUACUACACUUUAACGAUAUCUGCUGUACACCACAGAGAGCAUGUUUUAUAAAAGAAAAAAUAUUGUUUCCCAUUUAUUUGGUGAAUGGGGUGGGGCAUACUUUCAGGUAAUGAACAAGUUAACAAAUUUUAGUAGAUGCAACUAAAAUCCAGAGUUUCUCUUCACUAGUAAUCACUUUCCUUUAAAAAGAAAAAUAGUGUGUGAUUUUUACUUACAACAAAAUAAAUAAGUAUACUGUCUGGUCUGAAACAGUACAUAAAAGGGAAGCAAUCAUAUGCUUUGGCUUUUAAAUAAACCCUAAAAUACU